rnacentral:sRNA from 1 species
AUUUAGCUCUUAUGAAAGUGACAUCCUUUUUUUGUACUGGUUUUUGAGACGAGUGUGCAAAAAAUACAACGAACAGCAGGAAAAUCU